UCUCCGUUGGUGAACCAGCGGAGGGAUCAUUACAGAGUUACCUCACUACCAAACCCUUUGUGAACUUAACUUAUUGUUGCCUCGGCGAGCCCCUGGGAUUCGUCCUACGCCCGCCGAUGGCCCCCUUAACUCUGUUACCUAUUAAGUAAUCUGAGCGUACUUUAAAAAUAAAGUCAAAACUUUCAACAACGGAUCUCUUGGUUCUGGCAUCGAUGAAGAACGCAGC
rnacentral:misc_RNA from 1 species